rnacentral:lncRNA from 1 species
CAAUGUCAGCUACUUGGUACAUCUACUCCUCUCUGAGAUGAGGACCUACGAUAAUUAUGCCAGAAGAAGCCUGAAGAGGCUGAAGAGCUGUCCCUGAGCAUCGCAGUGUGUUCUGGUGCAAGAUGAAAUCCUUUGGAAAUGCAGCAGCAUCAGCCUGUUCAGAUUGGAGUAGAAGGGAGAGUCUCAGAACGAGUCAUGUUUGGGACACCGAAUGGGAGAUGAGGAGAGUUAAAUUUUACCACAGGCAUGUCCAACCCGUGACCCACAGGCUGCAUGCCACCUGGCACAGCUUGCACUGCGGCUGCCCCCUGCCCAGCGCCAUCAUGGUGAUGGCUUUCCCUGCCAAGCAGCCUGGCUUGGCCCACAGCGUGCACUUAUUGCUCACAACAACCACACAGCAGUGUGCAACCAGCACUGUCUGAGCUGAAACCAG